UACGAGGGGGGCAAAUGUUGUUCGGAAUCACUGGGCGUAAAGGGAGCGUAGGCGGGUUUUUAAGUCAGGUGUUUAAUCCCGGGGCCCAACCCCGGACAGGCACUUGAAACUGGGAAUCUUGAAUAGUGGAGAGGUCAGUGGAAUUGGGGGUGGUAGCGGUGAAAUGCGUAGAUAUCUGGAGGAACACCGGUGGCGAAGGCGGCGAUGCCUAGG
rnacentral:rRNA from 1 species